rnacentral:rRNA from 1 species
AUUGAACGCUGGCGGCAGGCCUAACACAUGCAAGUCGAACGUGAAAACCCCUUCGGGGGCAAGUAGAGUGGCGAACGGGUGAGUAACGCGUAGGAAUCUACCCAGGAGUGGGGGACAACCCGGAGAAAUCCGGGCUAAUACCGCAUAUGCCCUACGGGGUAAAGUGGGGGACCUUUAGGGGCCUCACGCUUUUGGAUGAGCCUGCGUCGGAUUAGCUUGUUGGUAAGGUAACGGCUUACCAAGGCGACGAUCCGUAGCUGGUCUGAGAGGAUGACCAGCCACACUGGGACUGAGACACGGCCCAGACUCCUACGGGAGGCAGCAGUGGGGAAUAUUGGACAAUGGGGGCAACCCUGAUCCAGCCAUGCCGCGUGUGUGAAGAAGGCCUUCGGGUUGUAAAGCACUUUCAGUAGGGAAGAAAAGCCUAAGGUUAAUACCCUUGGGUCUUGACGGUACCUACAGAAGAAGCACCGGCUAAUUCCGUG